rnacentral:rRNA from 1 species
AAUGCGGAGCUACCAUGCAGUCGAGCGGUAACAGAAGAGCUUGCUCCUUUGCUGACGAGCGGCGGACGGGUGAGUAAUGCGUGGGAACAUGCCUUGUGGUGGGGGAUAACCCGUGGAAACGAGCUCUAAUACCGCAUAAUGUCUACGACCCAAAGGGGGCUUUUCGGGCCUCUCGCCCUGAUAUUUGCCCAGUGGGAUUAGCUAGUUGGUGAGGUAAUGGCUCACCAAGGCAACGAUCCCUAGCUGGUUUGAGAGGAUGACCAGCCACACUGGAACUGAGACACGGCCCACUCUCCUACGGGAGGCAGCAGUGGGGAAUAUUGCACUGGGCGCAAGCCUGAUGCAGCCAUGCCGCGUGUGUGAAGAAGGCCUUCGGGUUGUAAAGCACUUUCAGCGGAGAGGAAGGCGAUAACGAUUAUAACCUUGGAAAGUGGCUUCCCCCACAGAAGAAACACGGGAAAUCUCCGUGACCGCCCGCGCUAAUACACGGAGGGUACGAGCGUUACUCAGAUUUUCUGGGCUUAAAGCGCACACAGGCUCUCUGUCAUGUCAGAUGUGAUAUCCGCGGACUCCCCCUGAUCACUGCAUGAGAAUCUGUGGAGAUAGAGUCUUGUAGAGGGGGGAUAGAUUUCCGUGUGUUGCUGAUAUGUGCGUAGAUAUCGGGAAAAUACCAGUGGCAAGCGCGGCCCUGGGGACAUACUGUGACUCUCAUGUGACAGAGUGUGGAGAGCA